rnacentral:rRNA from 1 species
UACGGAGGGUGCAAGCGUUUGUUCGGAAUCACUGGGCGUAAAGGGCGUGUAGGCGGUCCGCUAAGUCUGAUGUGAAAGCCCGGGGCUCACCCCCGGAAGGGCAUUGGAAACUGGCGGACUCGAGUCUCGGAGAGGAAGGUGGAAUUCCUGGUGUAGCGGUGAAAUGCGUAGAUAUCAGGAGGAAUACCGGUGGCGAAGGCGGCCUUCUGGACGGAUGACUGACGCUGGAGGCGCGGAAGGCCGUGGGGAGCGAAACGGG